GAUGAACGCUAGCGGCAGGCCUAAUACAUGCAAGUCGGACGGGAUUGGGGAGCUUGCUCUUCAUGAGAGUGGCGCACGGGUGCGUAACACGUAUGUAACCUACCCAUAUCAGGGGGAUAGCCUCUCGAAAGAGAGAUUAAGCCCGCAUAAAAUCACACUGUGGCAUCACAGAAUGAUCAAAUAUUUAUAGGAUAUGGAUGGGCAUGCAGAACAUUAGCUAGUUGGGAAGGUAACGGCUUACCAAGGCUACGAUGUUUAGGGGAUCUGAGAGGAUGACCCCCCACACUGGUACUGAGACACGGACCAGACUCCUACGGGAGGCAGCAGUAAGGAAUAUUGGUCAAUGGACGGAAGUCUGAACCAGCCAUGCCGCGUGCAGGAAGACGGCCCUACGGGUUGUAAACUGCUUUUGUACGGGAAUAAACCUCCCGACGUGUCGGUAGCUGAAUGUACUGUAAGAAUAAGGAUCGGCUAACUCCGUGCCAGCCGCCGCAGUAAAAC
rnacentral:rRNA from 1 species